AGACUGUAAAUAACCAUUAUCAUUUUUGUCAGAGCGGUAGUGAUUUUAUUUUUAUUUGCAUCUAAAAUUGUCAUUUGGCGCUUCCUGUUUAGUGCAGUUUGCAAAAAAGUAACUUGACAUCUUAAGUAUGGCCAGAGUUUGUUUCAAAGUCAGAUUUAAACGAUAAUGUUUACACUGACAGCACUUCCAAAGAGGUGUGUUUUGUGUAAUAAUUGUAUGCCUAUGAGCAUUUGUAUUUGUAAAUUAUUUAGUGUAGAACGUGAACUAUGUUUAAUUAUCUGGAUGUGUUUCGCAAUGUUUAUCAGCUCUUACGGUGAUUAGGUCACGGUUAUGGAAUAUGUUGCUCACAAAUGAACAACAAAAAUCAUCAGUAAAAGUUUCAUCCUGGUUCGGGAGGGCAUGCUACACUGACAGUGAGUGUAAAUGGCCAAGCCAAUCAUAUGACUGGAUCCCAUUAGUGUGCCUAAUGCAAUUACCAAUGCUACGGCUUCAAGUUAUGAAUUCCACCACUACGACUGCUGGCAUAGAUGAGGAGUUGCAUUUGGAGUAUUUUCCCAAGUGCGUCAUUUCCCUGUGUUUUGACUGCUGGUGCACCAAAAGCUCUUCCCCCAAGUUGCGAAAGGACACAACAUGAAUCGGAGUUGAAUGACAUCGAUUCAUACAGUGGACAUCUCGAUAUUGACAUGUUGGCAAGAUCACAUUUUCUUCCUGAAGACAAGCUCCUGUCUUUACAUCCUGAACUCAGAAGGCGGUCAGGAGCAUCACGCUGGUGCUACAUUCCCACCAGCACCGAGGAGCAGGAUGGCAGACCGAAUGGGGGCAGUGGGACAAGUUCUCAUAUCUCACAGCUUCAUCCAAACAAGACCAUUUUAAGUCACUCUGUUUGCUUUAGCAUUGGAUGGUGUCUCAGUCAGUGGGGCAAGUGGGACAGUGGCCCACUCAAUUCAGCAGAUAGCGCUAUGGUGAAGAAAGCUUGUAUCUUCAGUUACCGCUACAUUGUGGUGAGUGGUAUCAUUCCAAAACAUGAAUAUAUAAAUAAAAUCGUCUCAUGAUACUGAUAGCAUGACUUCUUCAGGUUUUGUCUUUUAUUCAGGGUAGACGCAUACCAAGAAAUGGGACUUAUUUGAGUAUUCUUCUGAUCAAAGUCAGACUAUUUGGACUGAAAAUCCCUUGGUGUGAGGCGUGACCGCACCCACCUGCUUGGAAAAAUGUCUCAAAUCGUAAUUGUUAAAUCAUUUA